CCUACGGGUGGCAGCAGUGGGGAAUAUCGCACAAUGGGCGCAAGCCUGAUGCAGCCAUGCCGCGUGUAUGAAGAAGGCCUUCGGGUUGUAAAGUACUUUCAGCGGGGAGGAAGGUGUUGUGGUUAAUAACCACAGCAAAUGACGUUACCCGCAGAAGAAGCACCGGCUAACUCCGUGCAGCAGCCGCGGUAAUACGGAGGGUGCAAGCGUUAAUCGGAAUUACUGGGCGUAAAGCGCACGCAGGCGGUCUGUCAAGUCGGAUGUGAAAUCCCCGGGCUCAACCUGGGAACUGCAUUCGAAACUGGCAGGCUAGAGUCUUGUAGAGGGGGGUAGAAUUCCAGGUGUAGCGGUGAAAUGCGUAGAGAUCUGGAGGAAUACCGGUGGCGAAGGCGGCCCCCUGGACAAAGACUGACGCUCAGGUGCGAAAGCGUGGGGAGCAAACAGGAUUAGAUACCCCGAUAGUC
rnacentral:rRNA from 1 species